ensembl:lncRNA
UAAAAUUACUUCUGUUCAAGACGUGUUCUUAUCUAAGACGGUUAUUGUAAAAAAAAAAGUCCUCUAUAGGCUACAAGCUCCGGGAAUUCUGUGCUUCCCUGAUAGAGAGCGUCCCCCGGACUUUCCCACAUGAAUCAUAGCAUUAUGUUCAUCAUCGAUCAACAAGCAACAGGCUGACUGGUUCUGGCAUGACGCCUAAUAAGGUCUACAAUGAACACAUCCACUACUUCCAGACUGAAAAACAGCCAGACUGUAAUGGGGGAACGAAAGACGGAAACUAUAAAUAUUUAUCUUCGUCCGUGUCAGAAGUUCACCUUGUUUAUAUCUGUC